UGUCCUUUCCACGAAGGAAGUGGUCC
rnacentral:piRNA from 1 species